AUUAUAAGCCUGCUUUUGGGUGAAGGCUUCACAGGCACCCAGGAAUCACUUUCACAGUGAACACAGGAAAAGGAAAAAAAACCACAGGAAUGCAACCUGACAUCUCUCUCAGGCUCUAAGUAUUGGACUGCCAGGACUUGGGUACUGAAGAAAUUAGUUUUGCCACGAAGGCAACCUCAAAAAGCCAGUCAUCUUCAAGCCACAUUUACAGCACUCCGCAGUGCGACUUGAGGCCUGUCUGCCUAGCUUCCUGCUUCUUGGCCUUCCUGCCACUCUUUAUGCUGACACCGCGCUUACAGUAGCAGCUUUCAG
rnacentral:lncRNA from 10 species